rnacentral:rRNA from 1 species
AGACAUGGAAAACCCCGGGAAACUGGGAUUAAUCCGUGAUAGGUCACCUCAUCUGGAAGGAGAGAUGGCUUAAAGGGGUGCGAGAGCUUCUUUCUUGCAUUCGCUCCAGGAUGGGACUGCGGCCGAUCAGGCUGUUGGCGGUGUAAUGGACCACCAAACCUGUAACCGGUACGGGCCUUGAGAGAGGGGGCCCGGAGAUGGACACUGAGAGAAGGGUCCAGGUCCUACGGGGCGCAGCAGGCGCGAAACCUUCGCAAUGCGCGAAAGCGUGACGAGGUUAAUCCGAGUGGUCCCCGCUGAGGGGAUCUUUUGUUGGCUGUAAAAAGGCCGAUGAAUAAGGGGAGGGCAAGUCUGGUGUCAGCCGCCGCGGUAAUACCAGCUCCUCGAGUGGUCGGGGCGAUUAUUGGGCCUAAAGCAUCCGUAGCCGGUUCUGUAGGUCCUCUGUCAAAUCCAACGGCUUAACCGUUGGCCCGCAGAGGAUACCGCAGGACUAGGAGGCGGGAGAGGUGGACGGUACUCGACGUGUAGGGGUAAAAUCCUUUGAUCCGUCGAAGA